rnacentral:rRNA from 1 species
GUAGGGAAUAUUGCGCAAUGGACGAAAGUCUGACGCAGCGACGCCGCGUGAGUGAUGAAGGCCUUAGGGUCGUAAAGCUCUGUUGAAUGGGAAGAAAAAAAUGACGGUACCAUUCGAGGAAGGACCGGCUAACUUCGUGCCAGCAGCCGCGGUAAUACGAGGGGUCCUAGCGUUGUUCGGAAUCAUUGGGCGUAAAGGGUGUGUAGGUGGCCAUGUAAGUCAGUUGUGAAAGCCCCGGGCUCAACCCGGGAAGUGCACUUGAUACUGCGUGGCUUGAGUACCGAAGAGGGUAGUGGAAUUCCAGGUGUAGUGGUGAAAUACGUAGAUAUCUGGAGGAACACCGGUGGCGAAGGCGGCUACCUGGUCGAGUACUGACACUGAGACACGAAAGCAUGGGGAUCAAACAGGAUUAGAUACCCGUGUAGUCC